rnacentral:rRNA from 1 species
UACAGGGGGUGCAAACGUUGCUCGGAAUUAUUGGGCGUAAAGCGCGCGUAGGCGGCUACUUAAGUCGGAUGUGAAAGCCUCUGGCUCAACUGGGGAAGUGCACCCGAAACUGAGUGGCUUGAGUGCGAAAGAGGGUCGCGGAAUUCCCGGUGUAGAGGUGAAAUUCGUAGAUAUCGGGAGGAACACCGGUGGCGAAGGCGGCGACCUGGGUCGACACUGACGCUGAGGCGCGAAAGCGUGGGGAGCAAACAGG